rnacentral:rRNA from 1 species
UAGGGAAUCUUCCGCAAUGGGCGAAAGCCUGACGGAGCAACGCCGCGUGAGUGAUGAAGGUCUUCGGAUCGUAAAACUCUGUUAUUAGGGAAGAACAAAUGCGUAAGUAACUAUGCACGUCUUGACGGUACCUAAUCAGAAAGCCACGGCUAACUACGUGCCAGCAGCCGCGGUAAUACGUAGGUGGCAAGCGUUAUCCGGAAUUAUUGGGCGUAAAGCGCGCGUAGGCGGUUUUUUAAGUCUGAUGUGAAAGCCCACGGCUCAACCGUGGAGGGUCAUUGGAAACUGGAGAACUUGAGUGCAGAAGAGGAAGGUGGAAUUCCAUGUGUAGCGGUGAAAUGCGCAGAGAUCUGGAGGAACACCAGUGGCGAUGGCGACUUUCUGGUCUGUAACUGACGCUGAUGUGCGAAAGCGUGGGGAUCAAACAGG